GGAAGUAAAAGUCGUAACAAGGUUUGCGUAGGAGAACCGGCGGAAGGAUCAUUACCGAGUGAGGGUCCUCGUGGCCCAACCUCCCACCCGUGACUACUGUACCACUGUUGCUUCGGCGGGCCCGCCAGCGUCCGCUGGCCGCCGGGGGGCUUCUGCCCCCGGGCCCGUGCCCGCCGGAGACCCCAACACGAACACUGUUUCUGAAAGCCUGUAUGAAUUCGAUUCUUUGUAAUCAGUUAAAACUUUCAACAAUGGAUCUCUUGGUUCCGUCGAUGAAGAACGCAGCGAAAUGCGAUAACUAAUGUGAAUUGCAGAAUUCAGUGAAUCAUCGAGUCUUUGAACGCACAUUGCGCCCCCUGGUAUUCCGGGGGGCAUGCCUGUCCGAGCGUCAUUACUGCCCUCAAGCCCGGCUUGUAUUGGGUCCUCGUCCCCCUCCCCGGGGGACGGGCCCGAAAGGCAGCGGCGGCACCGCGUCCGGUCCUCGAGCGUAUGGGGCUUUGUCACCCGCUCUGUAGGCCCGGCCGGCGCCAGCCCACGCAACACCUUUUUUUUCAGGUUGACCUCGGAUCAGGUAGGGAUACCCGCUGAACUUAAGCAUAUCAAUAAGCGGAGGAAAAGAAACCAACCGGGAUUGCCUCAGUAACGGCGAGUGAAGCGGCAAGAGCUCAAAUUUGAAAGCUGGCCCCUCCGGGGUCCGCAUUGUAAUUUGCAGAGGAUGCUUCGGGUGCAGCCCCCGUCUAAGUGCCCUGGAAUGGGCCGUCAGAGAGGGUGAGAAUCCCGUCUGGGAUGGGGUGCCUGUGCCCGUGUGAAGCUCCUUCGACGAGUCGAGUUGUUUGGGAAUGCAGCUCUAAAUGGGUGGUAAAUUUCAUCUAAAGCUAAAUAUUGGCCGGAGACCGAUAGCGCACAAGUAGAGUGAUCGAAAGAUGAAAAGCACUUUGAAAAGAGAGUUAAACAGCACGUGAAAUUGUUGAAAGGGAAGCGCUUGCGACCAGACUCGCCUCCGGGGUUCAGCCGGCAUUCGUGCCGGUGUACUUCCCCGGGGGCGGGCCAGCGUCGGUUUGGGCGGCCGGUCAAAGGCCUCCGGAAUGUAGCGCCCUUCGGGGCGCCUUAUAGCCGGGGGUGCAAUGCGGCCAGCCUGGACCGAGGAACGCGCUUCGGCUC
rnacentral:sRNA from 1 species